UCUGGUGAUUAUUACUAAGAGGAAAUACCUGUUCCCAUUCCGAACACAGAAGUCAAGCUCUUAAGUGCCGACAAUACCCACGAGUUACCUUGUUGGAAAGAUAGGUUGUCGCCAGAU
rfam:Clostridium sp. CAG:245 genomic scaffold, scf98